AACUGCCAUAAUGGCCACAGCAGAAGCGCUCACAUCGUACCCUGUCAGAUUCUAACGGAUCUGCAAAUUCUACU
rnacentral:lncRNA from 1 species